CCCUUAGAUGUUCUGGGCUGCACGCGCGCUACACUGAAGCGUUCAACGAGUAUUCACCUUGCCCGGGAGGGUUGGGUAAUCUUUUGAAAACGCUUCGUGAUGGGGAUAGAUUAUUGCAAUUAUUAAUCUUCAACGAGGAAUUCCUAGUAAGCGCGAGUCAUCAGCUCGUGCUGAUUACGUCCCUGCCCUUUGUACACACCGCCCGUCGCUCCUACCGAUGAAUCGUCCGGUGAAGUUCAUGGAGUAGUGGUUGUUCCAUCCGCUGUCGAAGUGAAAUAAACCUCAUGAUUUAGAGGAAGGAGAANUCGUANCA
rnacentral:rRNA from 1 species